rnacentral:rRNA from 1 species
CCUACGGGGGGCAGCAGUGAGGAAUAUUGGUCAAUGGGCGGGAGCCUGAACCAGCCAAGCCGCGUGAGGGAAGAAGGUACAGCGUAUCGUAAACCUCUUUUGUCAGGGAACAAAGGCGGGGACUAGUCCCCGGAUGAGGGUACCUGAAGAAAAAGCAUCGGCUAACUCCGUGCCAGCAGCCGCGGUAAUACGGAGGAUGCGAGCGUUAUCCGGCUUUAUUGGGUUUAAAGGGUGCGGAGGCGGGCUGUUAAGUUAGCGGUAAAAUGUCCGGGCUUAACACCGGCGCGGCCUUUGAACUUGGCGGGCUAGAGAUGGAGAGAAGUACGCGGAAUGCGCGGUGUAGCGGUGAAAUGCUUAGAUAUCGCGCAGAACCCCGAUUGCGAAGGCAGCGUACCG